rnacentral:rRNA from 1 species
UGGGGAAUAUUGCACAAUGGGGGAAACCCUGAUGCAGCAACGCCGCGUGAGUGAUGAAGGUUUUCGGAUCGUAAAGCUCUGUCUUUGGGGAAGGUAAUGACGGUACCCAAGGAGGAAGCCACGGCUAACUACGUGCCAG